AUGAGCGCUGGCGGCGUGCCCAAUACAUGCAAGUCGAGCGAACGGACGAGAAGCUUGCUUUUCUGAUGUUAGCGGCGGACGGGUGAGUAACACGUGGAUAACCUACCUAUAAGACUGGGAUAACUUCGGGAAACCGGAGCUAAUACCGGAUAAUAUUUUGAACCGCAUGGUUCAAAAGUGAAAGACGGUCUUGCUGUCACUUAUAGAUGGAUCCGCGCUGCAUUAGCUAGUUGGUAAGGUAACGGCUUACCAAGGCAACGAUGCAUAGCCGACCUGAGAGGGUGAUCGGCCACACUGGAACUGAGACACGGUCCAGACUCCUACGGGAGGCAGCAGUAGGGAAUCUUCCGCAAUGGGCGAAAGCCUGACGGAGCAACGCCGCGUGAGUGAUGAAGGUCUUCGGAUCGUAAAACUCUGUUAUUAGGGAAGAACAUAUGUGUAAGUAACUGUGCACAUCUUGACGGUACCUAAUCAGAAAGCCACGGCUAACUACGUG
rnacentral:rRNA from 1 species